UCUCUAUCUUUCCAUCAGGUAUUCUCCAAAGGCUCAGUCCUGGACCAACCCAGCAUUUUUUUUUCUGGUUGAUGCCUUCGUUCAAAUGAUCAGAGACCUGCUUGAGCUUUGUUAUGUGAGAUAUAAUUUGUCUUGGUCUUAUGACUGCGUGUAGCAGCGUGCCCAUUGGGAGGAGGAACAGCAGAGGGCCCUGCAACACUUUAGCUACCUGGGGCCAAAGGUCACCUGCUCUCUGCUGAAGAUACAGAGCAACUUCCAACCCUGCCUAAUAUUCUGAAAUGUUGUUGGCACGGCCAUCCUGGACGUCGAAACACCACCUGGCACCAUGAUUACAACAGAGUAAAGUCAUUAAGGUGAAGACCUGACCCUGCAGCGACUCUUGCUCAUGCUGUCCCUCCCCCGCUCAUCUGACGCAUCACUAAAGAUCUUGGGAAAAAGGGUCCACUGGCAGCAUAUGUGCUUCAGAAGACUUACUUCAUUUCUGACGAAGAAUAUCCUCGCGGGGGUCAGAGCAAGAGCACUUUUAUUGCUCCAGCAGCAAUGGAUGAGCCUCAAAGAGAAGGUGGCAGCAUGUCUUCAGGAUCCUCACACCACUGCACCAGAGAGCCCCCAAGACCCCAGUAAAGG